rnacentral:rRNA from 1 species
GACGGAGGAUGCAAGCGUUUAUCCGGAAUGAUUGGGCGUAAAGCGUCCGCAGGUGGCAGUUCAAGUCUGCUGUCAAAGACCGGGGCUUAACUUCGGAAAGGCAGUGGAAACUGAACAGCUAGAGUAUGGUAGGGGCAGAGGGAAUUCCUGGUGUAGCGGUGAAAUGCGCGAUAUCAGGAGGAACACCGGUGGCGAAGGCGGUCUCUGG